rnacentral:rRNA from 1 species
CCUACGGGAGGCAGCAGUGAGGAAUAUUGGUCAAUGGCCGGAAGGCUGAACCAGCCAUGCCGCGUGAAGGUCAGUGCCCUAUGGGCUUUAAACUUCUUUUGUGCGGGAGCAAUAAUGGUCACGUGUGGCCAGACGAGAGUACCGUACGCAUAAGCAUCGGCUAACUCCGUGCCAGCAGCCGCGGUAAUACGGGGGAUGCAAGCGUUAUCCGGAUUUAUUGGGUUUAAAGGGUGCGUAGGCUGUGAGGUAAGUCAGCGGUGAAAUGCCCCGGCUCAACGGGGUGAAGUGCCAUUGAUACUGGGUUGCUGGAGUGCGGAUGCCGUGGGAGGAAUGUGUGGUGUAGCGGUGAAAUGCAUAGAUAUCACACAGAACACCGAUUGCGAAGGCAUCUCACGAAUCCGCGAUUGACGCUGAUGCACGAAAGCGUGGGUAUCAAACAGGAUUAGAUACCCCAGUAGUC